rnacentral:rRNA from 1 species
UGCACUAGCUUCGCUGAUUCCUCCUUUCUGAAGAACUGUAAUGCCAUUAAUUUGGUGUUGCAGGGAAACAGGACUGUUACUUUGAAAAAAUUAGAGUGUUUAAAGCAGGCUCACGCUUGAAUACAUUAGCAUGGAAUAAUGAAAUAGGACGUUUGAUCCUAUUUUGUUGGUUUCUAGGAUUGACGUAAUGAUUAAUAGGGAUAGUUGGGGGCAUUAGUAUUCAAUUGUCAGAGGUGAAAUUCUUGGAUUUAUUGAAGACUAACUACUGCGAAAGCAUUUGCCAAGGAUGUUUUCAUUAAUCAAGAACGAAAGUUAGGGGAUCGAAGACGAUCAGAUACCGUCGUAGUCUUAACCAUAAACUAUGCCGACUAGGGAUCGGAUGAUGUUAAUUUUUAAUGACUCAUUCGGCGCCUUACG